UACGUAGGGUGCGAGCGUUAAUCGGAAUCACUGGGCGUAAAGUGUGCGCAGGCGGCCGCGCAAGUCGAGUGUGAAAUCCCCGAGCUUAACUUGGGAAUUGCGCUCGAAACUACGUGGCUGGAGUGUGGCAGAGGAAGGUGGAAUUCCACGUGUAGCGGUGAAAUGCGUAGAGAUGUGGAGGAACACCGAUGGCGAAGGCAGCCUUCUGGGCCAACACUGACGCUCAUGCACGAAAGCGUGGGGAGCAAGCAGG
rnacentral:rRNA from 1 species